CAGCCGCCGCGGUAAUACCGGCGGCCCGAGUGGCGGUCACUAUUAUUGGGCUUAAAACGUCCGUAGCCGGGUUGGGAAGUCCUCCGGGAAAUCUGGCCGCUUAACGGUCAGAAUGCCGGAGGAUACUCCCAGCCUAGGGAGCGGGGGAGGCCGAGGGGAUUCCCGGGGUAGGGGGGAAAUCCUAUAAUCCCGGGAGGACCACCUGUGGCGAAGGCGCUCGGCUGGAACGCGUCCGACGGUGAGGGACGAAGGCCAGGGGAGCAAACCGGAUUAGAUACCCGGGUAGUCCUGGCUGUAAACGAUGCGGACUUUGUGUCGGACAAGCUAUGAGCUUGUCCGGUGCCGGAGGGAAACCGUUAAGUCCGCCGCCUGGGGAGUACGGCCGCAAGGCUGAAACUUAAAGGAAUUGGCGGG
rnacentral:rRNA from 1 species